rnacentral:rRNA from 1 species
GACGAACGCUGGCGGCGUGCUUAACACAUGCAAGUCGAACGGUGAAGCGCCUUCCUUUUUGGUGGGUGUGUAGGAGUGGCGAACGGGGGAGUAACACGUGAGUUACCUUCUCACUUCUUCUGGAUAACCGCAUGAAAGUGUGGCUAAUACGGGAUAUUCUGGGUCUGUCGCAUGAUGGGUCUGGGAAAGAUAUUGUUUCGGUUGGAGAUGGGCUCGCGGCGUAUCAGCUUGUUGGUGGGGUGAUGGCCUACCAAGGCGGUGACGGGUAGCCGGCCUGAGAGGGUGGACGACAACGGUGGGACUGAGAGACGGAGAAGACUCCGACGGGAGGCAGCAGGGAGUAAUACUGCACGAUGGGAGGAAUGAUGAUGCAGCGCCGCGGGGGGAGGGAUGGAGGCCUGAGCGUUGUGAUCCUCUUUCGCGAGAGAAGAAGGCCUGCCUCGUUUGUGGGUGGGUUGACGGUAGCUGGAUAGGAAGCGACGGCUAACUACGUG